GUUACAGGGCUGAGGAGGUCGCCAAAGAAUACUUAUGGAUCAAAAGCUUAAACCAAAAUAACUACGGUUUCUCCAGCGGACGUGACUAACAUGGCCGGCGUGCUGCGAUUGAGCUUCACUUCCUCUGGUACACAUAACGACAACACAAGUCAAGGCUAUGCUUCCGAAAAAUGGACAAAGCGCCUGUCACAAUCACCGAGACGACCACGGUGAUUCGUGCUAACAAAUCCGCUGUCGAGAAAGGUCCUUGUUCACGAAGGUAACAAGAUGUCAUAAUGGCUGCCGUCUGAAGCCGAGCGCAAAGCUGAAGUCGUGUCACACCUGAUGCCAAAAUGCAGAUGUCGUCCGCAUGGAUGGGAAGUCGCACUGCGCUUGGCAGGUUGUCAGCUAAUCCACUGAAGGUGAGAUUGGAAAGAGUCGGGCUAAGCGCUCCGCUCCGCCUUGAGGGACUCCUCGGCUACCGUAAUGCUCGGAUGUCGCACCAUUUUCUGAGUGGUCGAAGAAUGGCC